rnacentral:rRNA from 1 species
UGGAGGCAGCAGUAAGGAAUAUUGGUCAAUGGCCGGAAGGCUGAACCAGCCAAGUCGCGUGAGGGACGACUGCCCUAUGGGUUGUAAACCUCUUUUAUAAGGGAAGAAUAAAUGCUACGUGUAGCAUGAUGCCUGUACCUUAUGAAUAAGCAUCGGCUAACUCCGUGCCAGCAGCCGCGGUAAUACGGAGGAUGCGAGCGUUAUCCGGAUUUAUUGGGUUUAAAGGGUGCGUAGGCGGUUUUUUAAGUUAGUGGUUAAACGUCGGGGCUUCACCUUGAUUUGCCAUUAAUACUGUAAGACUCGAGUUCAGACGAGGUAGGCGGAAUAAGUUAAGUAGCGGUGAAAUGCUUAGAUAUAACUUAGAACUCCGAUAGCGAAGGCAGCUUACCAGACUGCGACUGACGCUGAAGCACGAGAGCGUGGGUAGCGAACAGGAUUAGAAACCCUUGUAGUCCA